UACGUAGGGUGCGAGCGUUAAUCGGAAUUACUGGGCGUAAAGCGUGCGCAGGCGGUUUUGUAAGCCGGAUGUGAAAUCCCCGGGCUUAACCUGGGAAUGGCAUUCGGGACUGCAAGGCUGGAGUGCGGCAGAGGAGACUGGAAUUCCUGGUGUAGCAGUGAAAUGCGUAGAUAUCGAGAGGAACACCUGCGGCGAAGGCGGGUUGCUGGGCCGACACUGACGCUGAGGCGCGAAAGCCAGGGGAGCGAACGGG
rnacentral:rRNA from 1 species